CGGAAGGCAGAGGAGCAUAAAUCUUGCGAGUUGCUUUUCCGAGACCGGCCAGAACCAGCCCUUAAAGGAAGACACUGUGCGCUGCUGGCGGCUGUAGUCUUCUCAUUUCGAUUUCAACAAGUAGCCCCAGCCAGAGAAGCCUUAGAAGGGCCCGUGAAAACCAGGCCCGGUGGAGUCCUAUCAAAUUUAAGGCCGGAUUUGAGGUGAUGAGGAAUGUUUUCCAUAAUUAGACCAAAGACUGUUGAACACAAAUCAGUAUUGGCCAUCGUUAACGGAAGACAGCUACGUUUGCUACGUUUGUCACUUAGGGAACGUGUAAUAAGUAGAUCCUACCCAUGGGUGAAACCAUAAGAUAAUGAGAGGACUGUGACUUACAAUACUUCCUUCCUGGCACUCAGAAUUGUCUCUUUCAAGAUGUUUGGAUGGGACACGGGCCACAUGGGAGAGAGUAUCCUGUUACUGUCUUCCCAGACUCCUGGAAGCUGGUCUUUAAAGAAAAUGGUGCAUUCUUCAUUUAAACCCUGGCAGCAUGCUUGGACCCUGCCUUGCUUUCUUCUUGUAGGAAAUCAGAUUACCCAGGAUGGUAGCAAGACUUCGGAAGUGGCCUUCCACCACCCUGUCACUUGUGGCCUUUUGAAAACACUGUGUUUCUCCCAUGUUUGGAAAACCCAUGCGGCCGCAGAAGGCCCAGCAUUCCAACCAUACACACUGCCAGACACACUCAGUGCACAUGGAGUUCUUGCAGGCCUUGAUGGCUACACUGUGACAUUUCUUCUGUCCCUGUGCUUCCUGCUGCCCUCCUUUCUCCCUUUUCACUGGGUUAAUUCCUAUUUUCCUUGUAGCCCUACAUCAAACCCCCCAACCUUUCCUAAGCAGUGCUAGACACUUCCUUCUCACUUGGUCUCUUUCCCACACAUCAUUUUGUCAUCAUGUGCCAUGUGAUUUUUUUGCUCUGAUCUUUGUUUGCUUUGGAUCAUUUGUUUUAUGUGUCUCACUAGACCAUGCAUUCUUUGAGGAUCAGGAUGGUGUCCUAUUUAUUCACCUUUGUGAAGGUAAGUCAUUCUUCACACCCCCCACCCCCGCCUAUCUUCCAUGCUGCCACCUGGCAGUCCCAGAUGCACAUAGGUGCUCAGUUAGUCUUGGUUACAUUGACGAGUGAAGACAUGAGUGGAUAAAGCCAUACUUAUGAUUGAUCUUAAAAGGUUUGGGAGGACCAAGGCAGUCUCUAAAUCUGUGAAGGGGACAGUGAAUGCGGGGCAUGGAGAAGAGGAGGCUCCUAAGCCCGUCUUCUGGGACUUUGCACUAACAGACUAAAAUGGACUGGUGUCACCCUUUACCCAUCAUCUUCCUUUCCAUCUAUUUACUGCUACUGUGUUCAGGAAGGGCUCACGAUAAGUGCGACAAUGUAAGAUGUUCAUAGCAAUGUCAUCUUACCUCCCCUAAAAAUUGCUGACUAUGGUCCAUUUUAUCUAGUAGUUCACAUUUACAAGUAAAAGAUUUACCUUUGCUUCUAAAUAAAAUGCGGAUUAAUAUAUUGGUGCACCAGAGACACAUAUCAAGGCGCAUGGUGCUUUUCUUCUUGGGCAGAAAGUAGUUAUUUUUGAUCCCAUGGUGUUCUUGUGCUGGUCUGUUUUAUCUUUCUUCUCCCUCUGCUCAUCUCACAGAGCUAUAGGCAAACUAUUCCAGCAAUUUUCAGGAAUAUUCAGAACAGUCAUAUAGAAAGGGGUGCUAUGAAAUCCCAGUUUUACAGGGGAAGAAAGAGAAGCUCGGAGGUCAGUAACUUACCCAAAGGGCACAAAGCAGGCCAAGUGACAAAGCUGGAUUUCAAGCCCAUUCAGCCUGGGUCCAGAGUCUCUGCUGUCAACUGCCGUGAUAAGCUAUCUCGUACUCAGAAGUGUCCACACUCUAUGGAGGACAAAUUAUUUAUAAGGAGGGAAACCGAGCAGAUAAUUUACUGGAUCCCUUGGUAAUGCUCCAUAAAAGGAUAAAAAGGAGAGAAAAUUAAUAAUUUCACUUGUAGUUCCAGACCCUGGUAAACUUGUUCAUGUUCAUAUGCUCUGUAGCUCAAACUGAAUAACUGAGUACUUUCUGAAGUAAGUAACCAGUUCUAUGACUUGGAAAAAAAUCUCUGACUCCACUUAACUCAUGCAGAGGGCCAUGGCAUGAGGCCUAAAUGCCCAGGAGUUUAAGUCAAGAUACACUUACCUAGUAAAACUAUUCUUUUGUUGUUUUACUCUUUUCCUUCCUGCUUGGAGAACUUUUAAAGUUUAAAGCUAUCUACAAAAUGUCAUUUUGUCCCUAGAAAGCCGAGGUCAUAGAGAUACACGUCAGCUGUCAGAAGAGCCGCAAAGGAAGGUGAUAUUCUUUUAUAAUGGUUUCUGAGAAGAGAGGCCAUCAGAGUGAAAUCCAGUAAUCCUGCAUUUCUGAUUUCAUGUCUACUGAGAAUGCUCAAACUUGAGUGCAGACCUUGGUAGAGUACUGAUUGCUGAAAGGUAGCUCUGUCUCCUGGGGGAUCUGGAAUGAGAUCUAGUAGAAAGUUUCAUUCAAGUUGAAUGGAAAACAUAAAAGAGAGUGUUCUAUGGGACUCAGAGGUCUGGCAAUGAUGGAUUUACUCCAUGUGUGAAAGACUGGAAUAAGUGUUCUUCCCACGGUUGAUUUAUUAAUUGGUUUAUUAAGAAAGUCCUCCAAGUUAAUAUUUCACUACCUGCUUGAAUAGAGUUAUAAAUUCCUAAGUAGCGAGUCCACAAAUCAAAUACAAAUGGACACUCUAGUGCCCAUCAAAUGAUGUUUUAACAUGUAUCUAUAUGUUUAGCUAUAAUCUAAUAAUUCCCUGAGAGUAUUGUGCCUACUUUGAGUAGAAUGCUGCAUUUCAAUUUUAUUUUUAAAUUUAGAUAUUUCUAAAGAUGACCUGAAUUAAUUUAUGGGGAAAUUAUUACACUCCUUCUUGGAAUAUGCCUAAGUCUAUGGCAUGAAAUGCACCCAUUUCUGAAAGGAUUCCUUUAGUAAUACUCUCUCAUUUUAUGAGAUUCCAUGGCACCAUAGCAUGACUGAAUAAAUUACCUUCUGGACACAGCCUAAUUUCCCAUAGUCCUAAUUCUGAAAGAUUUUUCAGAUUUUUUUUUUUUCAGUAGGAGAAAUCUUGUAAGAUUAUCAAAUUCAUGAUUUUACUGAUGAACAAAAUUGUACCUGAACUAUCUUAAAAGUGCUUCUUUUCAUUAAAAAAAAAAAAAAAAAAAACACUAUAGCAAAUGAAAGGCAUCUAUUAUAUAACUCCCUGGAGUGGAUCCCUCUCCUGUUAACUCAAAUUUUCAGGAAGCUUGAAUUCCUCCAAUUCCAUUUUAAUGCCCCCCUCCCUUUUUUUUUUCUCUCUCAUUCUGUUUCAGUGGCAAUGAAGAACAGCUGGCCACCAUCCUCUGUGAUAAUAACCUUCAUAUAGUGGAAACUUGAAUGGUUUUGGACAUGGUACUCACAAAAACAUCUCCUUGCACAUGAUGUAGCUUAUUUGGUAUUUCCCCCUGUAAAUAGCUAGAUUCCUUAUAGCCAACCCUUCCAGCGACCAUCAAAUUUUGGCUCUGUUCAGCAUAAUGCAAGCAUUUUCUGCCCUGUCUAUUCAGGAAUGUCUUCCGAGGAGGUUUCACAAUCAAAUUUAUUGUGUUUAAUUUAUGACAUACAAUGUAAGAAGAAUGGAAUGCUUUUCUGCUAGGAUUUGCAUCGAUAAUGAAAGGUUACCAUAGUACCGGUCUGCUUUUACCAAAUUUGCCAAAUUCUGAAGGGAAUGCCAAUUAGAAGGCGGUCAUGGUUCUCGCUGCGACAGAUUGAGACCAAUACCUGGUGGCGAGGACCCGUGGCUGUUGGCUGGACCCUACUUCUAAUUGGGAAAGAAGGCAAACUGCUAGAUCGAAUAGUGUUUAUGAAGUGAUAUCAAUCAUUCCAAGGAAUAUAGCCACACCCCAAGAAAGCUGAGGAAGUGAUUCAGUCUUUCUGAGGUCAUCUUUUCUAUUAGUAUCAGGGUAGCCAAAAGUCUGAAACCGGCUCACAUUUUGCUCUCUUUAGGAAAAAACAACAUUGAUUUUAGAGGCUUUUGUUAUGGAGGCCAGGGGGAUUUUCCCACUGCCGCAAAGAGGAAGCUGGGCUUGGAUGGGGAAGCCAGACAUUUCUUGGCCUGAGUUUCUCACUUGAAUGGGAUUCCAGUUUGCCCCCUCCUCACCUCGCCAACCCCCAAGCAGCUCGAGGCCCCACCUCCUCCCUUGGACCAUAUGGGGAAGCUGGCUCAGUGGCUGUUAUUCUACGGACUCCAAGUUCACGCAGCUGUUCAUUCCCUGCUUAAUGCACCGAUUCCACAUAUGAAUGAUACCAUGCAGUAUUUGUCUUUCUCUGUCUGGCUUAUUUCACCUAACAUAAUGUCCUCCUGCUUCUUCCUUCAACUUUAUAGUCUUCCGAGAAGAUCCGAACAAUCAACAAAUUAACCAAGUAUACAUAAAAUAUCAGGUGGUGAUAAGUUCUAUUGAGAGAAACCCAAAAGGAACUCUAGAACAUGUUCCCCAGGAACAACCCAGCUUAUGAUGACAAAUAACCUACAAAUAAAUGAACGUCUGAAAAGAAGGGAUUGGAAAAGCAAGUCCUGGCAUAUUCAAUCAGGGAAUAUUAUGCAACAAUGAAAAUGAAUGCGAUACUCAAUGUAACAUUGUAGGUGGAUCUUAGCAAUGUCAAUAUCAGUGAAAAUAAGUUCAUAGAUAUUAAAAACAUCUGAUGCAUUUUUCACGAAGUCAAAUUCAUACAACCAAACCAUAUACUUUUAAGGUGAAACACAUAGAUGUGUUUAAUAAUAUAAAAUAACUUUUUAAAGCUGUUAAUAUAAGAUUUGGGAUUGUAAUUAUUUUGGAUGAAGGGAGAGCUUUCAUGUUGCAUGUUGGACUCAUUCAUUUAAUUGUGUUAUUUUGAAGGAAAACAUGAAGGAAGAAAGGAAAGAAGGAAGGAAAGAAAGAAGGGAGGGAGGGAGGCCUUCUCAUGAAUUAAUAUUGAGUGUAUGUCAUGAACCCAGGAUUAUGAUUAAUCUGAUUUUAUGCUCCUGAGGUAAGGGUUGGGGAGAGUUAUGGGGUAGUUGUUUGUAGUUUGUUUACUUGUUUUUUUGAUAGAGUUGUUAAGGAAGUUCUCUGUAAGGAAAUGACAUUUGAGCAGAGACAUUAAUGGAGAGAAGCCUAAAGAACAAGGGUACUGCUGUAGCAGGGGGAAGGGGGAGUAAGAGAGAGGACCAGCAGCAGGAGGUGAGUCAGGGAGGUAGCAGAAGCAGGUCAUCUUGGGCAUUAUAGGCCAUGAAAAGCACUUUUACAUUUACUCCAAAGGAAACGGAAGCCACUGAAAGGUUCUGAGUAGGAGUAACAUCAUAUAUUGUAUAUUUUGAAAGGAGCAAUACAUAAUGCAGUAGUUGUAGUAGUUGUCCUGCUGUAGUGUGGGAAUGAGUAUACCAGCAUUUUUCUGGCAUAGUUUACAUUUUGGGCUAGAUAAUUCUUUGCUGUAGAGGGUUUGCAUGGUAGGAUAUCUAGCAGCAUUCAUGGCUUCUUAUAGAGCUAUAGCAACCCCAACCCACUUGUAACAACCAGAAACAUCUGUAGACAUUGUCAAGUGUCUCCUUGGGGCAAAUUCUUUUCUGGUUGUGAAUCAAUGGAGGGCACCAAAGUUGGAAAAAUAUAAAAAUAUAGAAGCAGAGAGAGGAAGUAGGAAAAUCUAGCUAUAUCCACUGGAGACCAGAGCUGUGACUAGGAUAGCAGUGCGUGUUGUC